AGUGGGAUAGCUGGGUGAAAUGGUGGUUCCAUCCCAAGUUUUUCAAGGAAUCUCCAUAUUGCUUUCCAGAUUGGUUGUACCAUUGCAGUCUCACCAGCAAU
rnacentral:pre_miRNA from 1 species